UGGGGAAUUUUGGACAAUGGGCGCAAGCCUGAUCCAGCCAUGCCGCGUGCGGGAAGAAGGCCUUCGGGUUGUAAACCGCUUUUGUCAGGGAAGAAAUCUUCUGAGUUAAUACCUCGGGAGGAUGACGGUACCUGAAGAAUAAGCAUCGGCUAACUACGUGCCAGCAGCCGCGGUAAUACGUAGGGUGCAAGCGUUAAUCGGAAUUACUGGGCGUAAAGCGUGCGCAGGCGGUUUUGUAAGACAGAGGUGAAAUCCCCGGGCUCAACCUGGGAACUGCCUUUGUGACUGCAAAGCUUGAGUGCGGCAGAGGGGGAUGGAAUUCCGCGUGUAGCAGUGAAAUGCGUAGAUAUGCGGAGGAACACCGAUGGCGAAGGCAAUCCCCUGGGCCUGCACUGACGCUCAUGCACGAAAGCGUGGGGAGCAAACAGGAUUAGAUACCCUGGUAGUCCACGCCCUAAACGAUGUCAACUGGUUGUUGGGAAGGUUCCUUCUCAGUAACGUAGCUAACGCGUGAAGUUGACCGCCUGGGGAGUACGGCCGCAAGGUUG
rnacentral:rRNA from 1 species